rnacentral:rRNA from 1 species
ACGAAGGGGGCUAGCGUUGUUCGGAAUUACUGGGCGUAAAGCGCACGUAGGCGGAUUGUUAAGUGAGGGGUGAAAUCCCAGGGCUCAACCCUGGAACUGCCUUUCAUACUGGCAAUCUAGAGUCCGGAAGAGGUGAGUGGAAUUCCGAGUGUAGAGGUGAAAUUCGUAGAUAUUCGGAGGAACACCAGUGGCGAAGGCGGCUCACUGGUCCGGUACUGACGCUGAGGUGCGAAAGCGUGGGGAGCAAACAG